UCACGUACGUUUCUUCAAACCGCCAUCUCUCUCUCUUCUUUUUCCAUUUUUAUUUGAUCUUCCAUACACGCACAUUAUUCACAUUCAUCUUCCACCGCUUUCUCUCUCAUCUUGAUUUUCAGAAAAUACUGAUUCCAAUUUUAGGGUUCUUCCAUUCCAGUAUUGUUGAUUGCAUCUAUGGCGAUUUUUCAAAUCCUAGGUUUUUUAUCUAAGUCUAAUUGAUGACAGGGAUGUUCGUGUUCAACUACAGACCAUCAAUUCAAAAACCCUAAUCAUCGGUCACCUGGUUGAUUCCGAAGGCUGAGUGAUGGAGCUGGUAACAAAUCAGACUUUCAAUUAUCGUUAUUUAGUGGGUUGCAGCUGCGAUGGGGUCGAUUUAAAGGUGGCACGGUGGUAGAUUUGAGGCAAAUCUAGGUCACGACAGAAAUUGAGAGCACUGAUCAACAGAGAAGCCAUGCCCGUACAGUGGGAAAAGUUUGUCCAAUUGUGGAAAUUGAAGCUAGAGACCAUAUCUGGUGUGCUAAAUACCUCCUUGAGCUUGCUAUGGUUUUCUGAGGUUUGUUAUGGACAAUGGAGCUAAAGGGUUCGAGGUGAUUGUUAGAAGAAAGCUUAGGGCCUGGCGUGCACUAUGAUGAUUGAUGGUCUAAGAAAUAGUUUAACUCAUGCAUGGUAAAAUUAUAGGGGGGUUAUUUCGGUUUUAUUGGGUUAUCAUGAGCCCGACUUAUGGUGUUAAAAAUGUCCGUUCGAAUAUUAAUAUUUGGGGCCACCUUUGCGUUUACAUCUGCCUUCUUAAAAAUGAUAUCGCGGUCUACAGGUCAUUUCUAUUCUCAUCUUUGUAUUAGCAGUUUAUCAAACCUAGAGGAAUUAGGUAACAGUUGAUUGGGAUAUUAAUCAUACGCCUGUUCUUUUCGUUAAGAACUCUAAAUGCAAAAGUUGAGUCUUGAAAUUUUACCUCAUUGACCUGGUAAAACUUUUUAUUUUGUUAUUUGUACUGCCAUUUACUUUGUUAUUUGUACUGCCAUUUACUUUGUUAUUUGAUCGAUUAUGCACUUCUUUAUCUCAAAUCAAUACCGAUUAAAGUUUGCAUUCGCCUGCAAAAUUGGUGAAGCUGAGAUAAUUCUGUGUAAACUGGGAAAUUGAAAUUUUGGUCUCCACAGAUAGUGUAAAACAGUAUUUAAACUAUCUGAAUAGGCCUAUGUCUCAUCCUAUGAUGUACACACUUGAACUCUGGUUGUUUUUAAAAAUAACACAUAAUAUAAAGUAUUAGUUUAUUAUGGAUAAGGCAUGGUUUAAUGUUGUUUCUAAUUUGUUUUUUUUCCCUUGCAGUAGUACUUAUGGAAGCAUACCUUCCCUAUUGGGACAUAGGUGUGUAGUACAAUCAUCUAUACCUUAUAUUAAAACAAAACAUCUUUGGGCACUUGGCAUUCACUUAUACUACUCAUUGCCUGUAAUCAAGUUCCUGCAGCAGGUGCACUUGGUAUGGGUGACCAAUGAUCUGCUCAAAUUCCAAAUGCUUAGUGGGCUGGUGACAUGGCACCACCGUUGCUCAAGGUGCAAGUGGUUGAAGGUUAGACUCAACGAUAUGAGAAGACAUAGAUGUGGCAGAAUAUAGUUUGGCCAUACUUAAAAAAAAUCACCAGACUUGAAGCUUGAAAGAAAAAUCAAAAUUCGAAACUGGUUUGGCUCUACGCGGAUGUUGUAGUUUCAAGUAUGAGGAACGGUUUUGGGAAUCGGUGUGGAGGGCAUAUUUAUGAUGGCUAUGAGUACGCGAUGACGCCACUCAAUGACCCAAGUAUGUAUGAUGCAGCUUAUAGAGCUUAUCCAAUGUAUGUCAUUCAUCAACAAGUCAACUAAAUGAGAUCAUGGCCAAGCAGAGGAUUCUCUUCAGGCUUCAGUACCAGCCUUCUUAAUACCUCACCACCUAAUUGACUCGGUUCAAGGGAGAUGGGCAUGAAAAUUACCAGUAGUUAGUGGGUUGAGCUGGAAAACGAGUGCCGAUGGAAAUGGGUAUUUUGGUACGGCUAACAACCGGCCGGGUUGGGUUUGGAGUUGAGCAAGAGUACACUUUGCUUCAACCAGAUGUGAAGUGGCCUUUGGGAUGGCCUGUUGGAGGCUACCCUGGUCCACAGGGUCUAUACUACUGUGGUGCUGGAGCGGAUAAGUCAUUUGGAAGAGACAUAUUAGAUGCACAUUACAAGGCUUGCUUAUAUGCCGGAAUUAACAUCAGUGGAACCAACGAAGAAGUUAUGCCUGGACAGCAUCACAAGAAGCUAAAAGUUCUGGACUUGGGAGACUUAUUAUUGGAUGGUGGUGAAGAGAGUGUAGAUGGAGAUCCAAACAUGUCAAUGAACUUGCUUUAUGUUGUUGGCACGGUCAAUGUUGCGUAUCUUGAUGAACUUCGGAAGGCGAGGCUUAAUCUCGACAUUAGUGACUCAAAAGGAAUAACCCCUUUUGUAAUCUAAUUAUCUAUUUAUACUAUCAUCUUUCUAAUAGCGAUCUAUUGGGAUGGAGGAAACGUCUGCCACAUCUCACCCUUCCCAGCCCUACUUUAUGAGCAACUAAAACUGAAAAGCUCAAUAGGACAGUUGAUCUCAUGCCUGGGUGGUUGAGCAUGAAGAAUCCAAUAAAAUGAACGCCAGAAACAUAAGCAUGGUUAUCGCCCAACAUGACUCAGGUAGAAAGAAGACUGGGUAGCCAACCAACCUAAAAAUAUAAAAUUGAACAACAAAUCGGUAUCAGGAUCUGCCUUCAGUACAUUUAUCAGAUUGGAUCUUGCUUCAGCAAACACGUUUUUGAUCCCCAAGGUUAUGACAUGGGCACAUGGCUGACUAUUAUGAUGAUACAAAGGCUGAUCUCAAGAGGGAGUCAGAGAGAAAAAAAGAGCAAAAGAAAAAGAAAAACUAGAAAACCGAGUUUCUGUCUGGUGGAACACAGGCUGCAGUAGCUAUUCCGACAUCAAAAGUCCUUCCAAUUCAAGGUCGUUUCGGGUCGAGUACGGGACAAGUCGGUCAUGGAUCAGGAGAUUAGCGGGACACGUAUGAUGGGCCAACAUGUACGGGCCUGGUUAUGGAGCCAAAUAGCUUGAGGUUUUGCUUUACAUAAUAUAUUUUAGUCUGUUAUACAUGAGGUUUUGCUUUGUGUGUGAAAGGCACAAAGCCAUUGCAAUGGUUGUGGCCUAUGUCAUUAAAGCGGUUUAUGAGGAUCAAAUCUUUUUAGUAGAAUAUGAAUCAUCAGUUUAUGAUGGGUUAAUGUUUAAAUGAUCUUAAGCUGCUCUUGAUAUUAGCUUAUCGAGUCAAUUUUUUUAGUAUGAAUUUGUACUUUUCUUCUAGCACAUUGUAGCUUGCACUUGGCCUCAUCAUUAACUCACACACUGUUGUGUUGAACCCAUUAGUACAUUUGUCAGAUUGGAUCUUGCUUCAGCAAACACGUUUUUGAUCCCCAAGGUUAUGAAAUGGGCACAUGGCUGACUAUUAUGAUGAUAUAAGUAACGCACUGUAAAUUUUGUUGACCCCACCCCUACCUAUGUGUUCUACGCAUCAUUGUUUAUUUAUUUUUAAUAGAGGAUGAUCUCAAGAGGGAGUCAGAGAGAAAAAAAGAGCAAAAGAAAAAGAAAAACUAGAAAACCGAGUUUCUGUCUGGUGGACCACAGGCUGCAGUAGCUAUUCCGACAUUAAAAGUCCUUCCAAUUCAAGGUCGUUUCGGGUCGAAUACGGGACAAGUCGGUCAUGGAUCAGGAUAUUAGCGGUACACGUAUGAUGGGUCGACAUGUACGGGCCUUGUUAUGGAGCCAAAUAGCUUGAAUGGGUCGGAUAAGUGUUAAGUUAUAACAGAUCAGGAGUAUCAUGGUUGCCUUCUAUUUUGAGUAUCAUUAUGCCUAAUCUUAAAAAAUGUUUUGGAGUAAAUUAAACCGAUGGUCAAUGGAAUGGUCAAAGUUCAUAGAUGGUCAAGUGGAAAAGUCAUAUCAUUUCUUUGUUUAUUCAUCAUUGACUGUUUAAUCAUAUCUUAUUUUUAACUAAUUUAAUCAUAUCUUAUGUUUAAUUAUGAUAUGGGUACCAAUGAUACUGGACAAGCCAUACCAUCAGAUACCGGUAAAUGGUAAUAUUACUAUACUAUUGUUUUGUUUAUGCAUAUGUAAUUGGUGGCUGACUCGGUUUAUGCCAUGCAGGCUGACACGGUUAUUGGUAAUAUUAUGUUUGUGUUGCAAAAAAAAAAAAAAAAAAAAAAAAAAAAAAAA